rnacentral:rRNA from 1 species
UUCGCAAUGCCCGAAAGGGUGACGAUGCGACGCCGCGUGGAGGAUGAAGGCCUUCGGGUUGUAAACUCCUGUCAGGGCAAAAGAAGGGGAGGGGAGGAAACUCCCUGACCUUGACUGAGCCCAGAGGAAGUCCCCGCCAACUCCGUGCCAGCAGCUGCGGUAAUACGGAGAGGGCGAGCGUUGUUCGGAAUUACUGGGCGUAAAGGGUGCGUAGGCGGGUUCGUAUGUCAGGGGUGAAAGCCUCCGGCCCAACCGGAGGAGGUCCUCUGAAACUGCGGGCCUUGAGCGAAGCAGGGGGGAGUGGAACUCUCGGUGGAGCGGUGAAAUGCGUUGAUAUCGAGGGGAACGCCGGCGGCGAAGGCGACUCCCUAUGCUUCUGCUGACGCUGAGGUACUAAAGCCAGGGGAGCGAACGGGAUUAGAUACCCCGGUAGUCCUGGCCCUAAACGUUGGGCACUAAGUAGAGGGGUUUU